CCCUUAGAUGUUCUGGGCCGCACGCGUGCUACACUGAGUAAUUCAAUGGGGAAGGGAACGCUAGAGCAUUACCUAAUCUUGAAAUUUGCUCGUGAUGGGGAUCGACGGUUGCAAUUUUCCGUCGUGAACGAGGAAUACCUUGUAGGCGCAUGUCAUCAUCAUGCGCCGAAUACGUCCCUGCCCUUUGUACACACCGCCCGUCGCUCCUACCGAUUGAGUGAUCCGGUGAGGCUCUGGGACCUGGACGGAAAGAGCGUUUCGCUUGUUCUGUUUGGGAAACUUGGUCGAACCUUAUCAUUUAGAGGAAGGAGAAGUCGUAACA
rnacentral:rRNA from 1 species